rnacentral:rRNA from 1 species
UAAUACGUAGGGAGCGAGCGUUGUCCGGAAUCAUUGGGCGUAAAGAGCGCGUAGGUGGAUCAAUUAGUCUGCUGUGAAAGUCAAAGGCUCAACCUUUGAAAGCCGGUGGAUACUGUUGAUCUAGAGUACGGAAGAGGCGAGUGGAAUUCCUGGUGUAGCGGUGGAAUGCGCAGAUAUCAGGAGGAACACCAAUAGCGAAGGCAGCUCGCUGGGACGUUACUGACACUGAGGCGCGAAAGCGUGGGGAGCAAACAGGAUUAGAUACCCUGGUAGUCCACGCCGUAAACGAUGGGUACUAGGUGUGGGAGGUGUCGACUCCUCCCGUACCGUCGCUAACGCACUAAGUACCCCGCCUGGGGAGUACGGCCGCAAGGCUA